CACUCACUCAAUCUGGGUGUGAUGUGCUUUAUACUAUUCAUCACAACCUCCUUAAGUGAGCGA
rnacentral:pre_miRNA from 13 species